UACAGAGGUCUCAAGCGUUGUUCGGAUUCAUUGGGCGUAAAGGGUGCGUAGGUGGCGCUGUAAGUCGGGGGUGAAAGCCCACGGCUCAACCGUGGAGGGUCAUUGGAAACUGGGGAACUUGAGUGCAGGAGAGAAGAGUGGAAUUCCACGUGUAGCGGUGAAAUGCGUAGAGAUGUGGAGGAACACCAGUGGCGAAGGCGACUCUUUGGCCUGUAACUGACACUGAGGCGCGAAAGCGUGGGGAGCAAACAGG
rnacentral:rRNA from 1 species